rnacentral:rRNA from 1 species
CCUACGGGGGGCAGCAGUGGGGAAUAUUGGACAAUGGGGGCAACCCUGAUCCAGCCAUGCCGCGUGUGUGAAGAAGGCCCUCGGGUUGUAAAGCACUUUCAGUGAGGAAGAACGCCUGGUGGUUAAUACCCAUCAGGAAAGACAUCACUCACAGAAGAAGCACCGGCUAACUCCGUGCCAGCAGCCGCGGUAAUACGGAGGGUGCGAGCGUUAAUCGGAAUUACUGGGCGUAAAGCGCGCGUAGGUGGCUUGAUAAGCCGGUUGUGAAAGCCCCGGGCUCAACCUGGGAACGGCAUCCGGAACUGUCAAGCUAGAGUGCAGGAGAGGAAGGUAGAAUUCCCGGUGUAGCGGUGAAAUGCGUAGAGAUCGGGAGGAAUACCAGUGGCGAAGGCGGCCUUCUGGACUGACACUGACACUGAGGUGCGAAAGCGUGGGUAGCAAACAGGAUUAGAUACCCUAGUGGUC